AAGCUGUGAUGCGGGGCACUUCCUUAGCAAGUCCUUGAAUCUUUCCCAAGCUUCGUACAAGCUCUCUUGAUCAUGAUUGAGGCAAAUGUCAUUAUCUCAUUACGCAGCUU